UUUUUUUGAACAUUAUCUUCAAAUUCUAAACUCUUAAAUGGAAUGAUCAAUUGAGGGGGAGAAAGAAAAUUUCAGAAGGAGAGAUCUUAUGGAACUUAAUCGCAUAAAUCUAUAACUAAAGCAGAGAGAAAGAAUACUAAAUGAAAAGUGAUCCUAAUACUCUUCCAUAUGUAUCAUCUGAAAUUUAAAUCUGAAAAUCUUUAUGAUACACCUUGAGGCUUGUUAUUUGGUUAAUAUAUCUUAUGCAUAAAUCAUAAACCAAAUUGCAAUUCAAACAGUUGAUCUUAAGAGCCUCUAAUUUAAUGAAAAA
rnacentral:lncRNA from 1 species